rnacentral:rRNA from 1 species
UACGUAGGGUGCGAGCGUUAAUCGGAAUUACUGGGCGUAAAGCGUGCGCAGGCGGUUUGUUAAGACAGGUGUGAAAUCCCCCGGGCUCAACCUGGGAAUGGCGCUUGUUACUGGCAGGCUAGAGUGUGUCAGAGGGAGGUAGAAUUCCACGUGUAGCAGUGAAAUGCGUAGAGAUGUGGAGGAAUACCGAUGGCGAAGGCAGCCUCCUGGGAUAACACUGACGCUCAUGCACGAAAGCGUGGGGAGCAAACAGG